rnacentral:lncRNA from 10 species
AGCUGCUGCCCUGGGCGCACUGCCUUGCGGGUCACUGUGGCUGCUCCUGUGCUUCAGCGGGACUAGAAGCUGCCGCCCACGGGCAGCGGGGAAGAAAUCUGGGCAAAGCCAUGAGCCCUCCGAGGCUGAGCUCCAGUUUAGGGGCUCACCUGCCUUGCAUCGUUCCGAGUCCUGUACUGGACUGCAUCAGGCCGCGUCUCCUCAGGAAAGGAAAGGGGAUGCCCCUGAGGAGACUCGGUGCUCCCCACAGAACUCCCCAGCGAUCCCAGAUGGGAGAAGCUGAGCUGCGCGGGCGCUGCCCUCACUCCGGGGGUGAAACGUGGCUGUGAUUUCCACAGGUGACAGAAACCAGGCAGUGAUUCAACUCGUAUUUGACUUUCACAUUCUCCAGCAAUGUUCUUCAAUCUGGGAAGGGUAGAAAAUUAAAGAAAGGUAAGGAGAGUUAAAAAAUGAGAUCAUUUCAAAGUAGAUGCAGUCUUGAAGCCCAAAUGAAUUACGAGAUCCAGUUUGAAAGCUGCUGCAGAAGUGAUUUCAGAAUCGCGCGGUGGCUCCGGAAUGGGGAACUGCUGCUGAAAGAGGUCGGAAAGGGUGGGGACUGAAUUUCGGGUAAGAGGACGCCAGUGGUUCUGGAGCACGCGGCCUUCAGCCAUGCCUGCGUUCACAAGUACAUUAUUUCAGACUCACUCCAAGUUUACAUCUCUAAGCCCAUCCAAGCCAUGGCAGCGCGAACCUCUCCCUCCCCCAGCUCAAGGCCUCUGGGCCCCCAGGACAGAGGACAGAAGAGCCAGCCCCUCCUGGCUCAGGGUUGCCGGGACCCCGUGAUGGCUGCUGUGCCUCUCCUGAGGUGCCAGGUGAGAGCUGAGACUUCUGCUCCCGCUGCACCAGCUCCGUUUGUCUCCAGGCGCAGUGUCAGUCUCGUUCUUUAAGCGCUUCUGAGGUCCCAUCAGCACAGGUCUCGUCUUACCUGGAAAGGCUUGUUGCCUUGUGCCUGGGACUUUUUAUUCUGUGCUUUUCUUCUGGAUAUUAAAUUUCAUAUCCACGCUUGCUUGUCACUCAGA